rnacentral:tRNA from 1 species
GCCCAGCUGGCUCAGUUGGUGGAGCAUGCAACUCUUGAUUGUGGAGUUGUGGGUUUGAGCCCCACACUGGGUG